GAUUAACGCUAGCGGCAGGCAUAAUACAUGCAAGUUGAACGGCAGCACAGGUAGCAAUACUGGGUGGCGAGUGGCGCACGGGUGCGUAACACGUAUGCAACCUACCCUAUACAGGCGAAUAACCUUUAGAAAUGAGGGCUAAUACGCCGUAGUAUUACAGAUGGGCAUCUAUUUGUAAUUAAAGAUUUAUCGGUAUAGGAUGGGCAUGCGUCCCAUUAGUUAGUUGGUAAGGUAACGGCUUACCAAGACGAUGAUGGGUAGGGGAUCGGAGAGGACUUACCACCAGACUGGAACUGCGACACGGACCAGACUGCUAGGGGAGGCAGGAGUAAGGAAUAUUGGGCAAGGGCCGCGAGGCUGACCCAGCCAUGCCGCGUGAAGGAAGACGGCCUUAUGGGUUGUAAACUGCUUUGAUACGGGAAUAAUAGAGUGUACGCGUACAUUUAUGCAAGUACCGUAUGAAUAAGCAUCGGCUAACUCCGUG
rnacentral:rRNA from 1 species